UACGGAGGGUGCAAGCGUUAUCCGGAUUCACUGGGUUUAAAGGGUGCGUAGGUGGGUCUGUAAGUCAGUGGUGAAAUCUCCAAGCUUAACUUGGAACGGUCAGCUGAUACUGAUGUGCUAGAGUGCAGAAGGGGCAACCGGAAUUCUUGGUGUAGCGGUGAAAUGCGUAGAUAUCAAGAGGAACACCUGAGGUGAAGACGGGUUGCUGGGCUGACACUGACGCUGAGGCGCGAAAGCGUGGGGAGCAAACGGG
rnacentral:rRNA from 1 species